UUACCAGCAAUGAAAAAGUUGCAGUACAAUUACCCUCUGAUUUCCAGAAAGCUUGUGGUCGGUGAAAACAAGCAUCAAGGUGGAUUGGAAUUGGACUUUCGAGCUGAAUAACAUUUAAAGUGAUUCUGCCUCAGCAGAAUAAUUAGGGUGGCAACGCGGUUCAUUCGUCCCUGUA
rnacentral:ncRNA from 1 species